rnacentral:rRNA from 1 species
AUUGAACGCUGGCGGCAGGCCUAACACAUGCACGUCGAACGAGUGGCGGACGGGUGAGUAAUGCCUGGGAAACUGCCCGAUGGAGGGCGAUAACUACUGGAAACGGUAGCUAAUACCGCAUACCAUCGGAUGUGCCCAGAUGGGAUUAGCUAGUAGGUGGGGUAACGGCUCAUCUAGGCGACGAUCCCUAGCUGGUCUGAGAGGAUGACCAGCCACACUGGAAGUGAGACACGGUCCAGACUCCUACGGUAGGCAGCAGUGGGGAAUAGUGCACAAUGGGCGCAAGCCUGAUGCAGCCAGGCCGCGUGGAUGAAGAAGGCCUUCGGGUUGUAAAGUACUUUCAGCGAGGAGGCGUUAAUCGCAGAAGAAGCACCGGCUAACUCCGUGCCAGCAGCCGCGGUAAUAC